GAAAGUAAGAAAGGGCGCAUGGCGGAUGCCUUGGCUCACGGAGGCGAUGAAGGACGUGAUAAGCUGCGAUAAGCCGCGGUUAGGCGCAAAUAGCCCUUGACCCGCGGAUUUCCGAAUGGGACAACCCACCGCUUCGGCGGUAUCCCUACCAAGUAGGGAGGCUAACGGGGGGAACUGAAACAUCUUAGUACCCCCAGGAAGAGAAAACAACAGUGAUUCCCCUAGUAGUGGCGAGCGAACGGGGAACAGCCCAAACCGUCGCUGUCGCAAGGCAGCGCCGGGGUAGUAGGACCACGACCUUGUAUCAUGAUCGCGAGCAGAAGGUCCCUGGAAAGGACCGCCGCAGACGGUGAGAGCCCGGUAUGCGAAGCGUGAUUGGGCAUAGUGGUAUCCUGAGUAGCGCGGGACACGAGGAAUCCUGCGUGAAUCCGCCGGGACCAUCCGGUAAGGCUAAAUACUCCCGUGAGACCGAUAGUGAACGAGUACCGUGAGGGAAAGGUGAAAAGCACCCCUAGCAGGGGAGUGAAACAGUCCCUGAAACCAUGCGCCUACAAGCGGUCGGAGCUGCUUUUGCAGUGACGGCGUGCCUUUUGCAUAAUGAGCCUACGAGUUGCCAUGUCCGGCAAGGCUAAGGGCGAGUACGCCCGCAGCCGCAGUGAAAGCGAGCCUGAACAGGGCGCCGAGUCGGAUGGGGCAGACGCGAAACCAAGUGAUCUACGCAUGGCCAGGCUGAAGUCCCGGUAACACGGGAUGGAGGGCCGCACGGAUAAGCGUUGAAAAGCUUCCCGAUGAGCUGUGCGUAGGAGUGAAAGGCCAAUCAAACUUGGAGAUAGCUCGUACUCCCCGAAAGGCAUUUAGGUGCCGCGUCGGAUGUUCACCGCGAGAGGUAGAGCGACCGAUAGGACGAGAGGGCUUCACCGCCUAUCGAGUCCUGACGAACUCCGAAUGCUCGCGGUCCGCAGUCCGGCAGUAAGGGGGCGGGUGCUAAGGUCCGUCCCCGAGAGGAGAAGAAUCCUGACCGUCGUCUAAGGUCCCGAAAUUCUGUCUAAGUUAGUCUAACGAGGUCUGGUCUCAGUGACAGCUAGGAUGUUGGCUUGGAAGCAGCCAUUCAUUCAAAGAGUGCGUAACAGCUCACUAGUCGAGAGACCGGGCAUGGAUAAUAAUCGGGUAUUAAGUCAGAUACCGAAGGCACGGGGUAGCAGAGUAAUGAAAAGUACCGGUAGGGGAGCAUUCCACCUCCGUCGAAUGGUUUCCGUGAGGAUUCCUGGAGGGCGUGGAAAAGCAAAUGUAGGCAUAAGUAACGACUAGGGGCGUGAGAACCGCCCCCGCCGCAAGUCUAAGGUUUCCCGGGCGAUGCCAGUCAGCCCGGGGUCAGUCGGGUCCUAAGGCUCAGCCGAACGGCGAGGCCGAUGGCAGACACGGUUAAUAUUCCGUGACCCUCUGCUGGAGCGACGUGGAGACGGAGCAGUGACACCACCGCGCCCUGACGGAAUAGGGCGUUGAAGGCCGUAGGUGCUGAUGGAGGCAGGCAAAUCCACCUCCAGAGCUGAAAGCCGACAGUACGCUUCCUCCUUCGGGAGGCGGCGACAGCGUGGGUAACCAUACUUCCUAGAAAAUCCGCUAAGCAUAUCCAUUGGAGGCCCGUACCGCAAUCCGACACAGGUAGACGGGUAGAACAUACUGAGGCGUUGGGAGAUUCAUGGCUAAGGAACUAGGCAAACUGACCCCGUAACUUCGGGAUAAGGGGUCCUCACGGCAACGUGAGGCGCAGAGAAUAGGCCCAGGCAACUGUUUAACAAAAACACAGGGCUGUGCAAACUCGAAAGAUGAUGUAUACAGCCUGACACCUGCCCGGUGCCGGAAGGUUAAGAGGAGGAGUCAGCCCCUUGUGGGUGAAGCCCCGAGUUGAAGCCCCGGUAAACGGCGGCCGUAACUAUAACGGUCCUAAGGUAGCGAAAUUCCUUGUCGGGUAAGUUCCGACCUGCACGAAUGGUGUAAUGAUCUGGACGCUGUCUCAACCGUGAGCUCAGUGAAAUUGUAGUAUCGGUGAAGAUGCCGAUUACCCGCGAUGGGACGAAAAGACCCCGUGAACCUUUACUACAGCUUAGCAUUGACCUUGGUCAUCCGAUGUGUAGGAUAGGCCGGAGGCUUUGAAGCGGCGUCGCCAGGCGUUGUGGAGCCAUCCUUGAAAUACGGCCCUUUGGCUGUCUGAGGUCUAACUCGCUAAUGCGAGGACACUGUUUGGUGGGUAGUUUGACUGGGGUGGUCGCCUCCAAAAGCGUAACGGAGGCUUC
rnacentral:rRNA from 1 species